UAACCUGCUCACAACCAACAGCCUCGCGAGGGAAUCAAAGCUCCCCACUGUCGCCGUAUGAAAUGAAGGCAUAGGUCUUUCUUACCAUGUACAAUACACUACACUCACCACAACAGAACAACAGAACACACACUCUACAUCCAGCUGUAAGUCCCAUGCAACACAUAUUCGUCAUCUCCCGAUAUGGAGAGAAUCCCGUGCUCCAACAGCCCAACACGAUAUGCAUAGCGUACCAAUAAGCACCAUAAUCAUGUAUCAGUAACCCUCAUGUAUGCCCCUCUACUCCCAGAGCCGAGGAUCUCACUCUCCACUGAUCAUCUGCUCUUAUCACCACCCACAGACGAUAAGAGAUUACGAUCUCAGCAUCCAUACCGAAAGGUAGAAGUGGAGCUCGCUUUAGCUGGUUAGUUAGUUCUCGGUUAACUGUCAAGCAGGCAGAACGCAGGAAAGUUCGUGGAGUGCACGUAGACGUGAGAUAGCCUGACCGCUGUAGAACAAAAUUUCCAUUUUUUAAUUCUGUGGCAAAAAGUGAAGUGGAAAGCUAAUUAAGCUUAUUGGGCUCAGAGCAAGCCGCAGAUGUUCACUACCUUUAUGCAUGCUGCUCUGUAGUGCUACAAUGGAGUAGAGGAGGAGGAUACAAUGAGAUCGGCCUUUCUAUCAUGACCAACUUGUGCGCCAGGCCGGGAAGGUGUCCUAGCACGAUCAUGGAUCGGUGUGCUAGCGUUGGAGUAGCUGGCACGUCGCCGGUGAAUUUGCUUCUGUCCGGGCAAGCAUGCUGUCCACCAAUC
rnacentral:lncRNA from 1 species